rnacentral:rRNA from 1 species
UACAGAGGUCUCAAGCGUUGUUCGGAUUCAUUGGGCGUAAAGGGUGCGUAGGCGGUGAGGUAAGUCGGAUGUGAAAUCCCGGGGCUCAACCCCGGAACUGCAUUCGAUACUGCUUUACUUGAGGACUGGAGAGGAGAUUGGAAUUCACGGUGUAGCAGUGAAAUGCGUAGAUAUCGUGAGGAAGACCAGCGGCGAAGGCGAAUCUCUGGACAGAUCCUGACGCUGAGGCACGAAGGCUAGGGGAGCAAACGGG